CUGACCCUCGGGGUGGAUCGCAGUGUCCCUCCGGACACCGCCUGCCAGCAGGUUGCAGGUACAGGA